rnacentral:rRNA from 1 species
CGAAAGCCUGACGGAGCAAGACCGCGUGAGGGAGGAAGGCUCUUGGGUUGUAAACCUCUUUUCUCAGGGAAGAAGCUCUGACGGUACCUGAGGAAUCAGCCUCGGCUAACUCCGUGCCAGCAGCCGCGGUAAUACGGAGGAGGCAAGCGUUAUCCGGAAUUAUUGGGCGUAAAGCGUCCGCAGGUGGCAUAUCAAGUCUGCUGUCAAAGACCGAAGCUCAACUUCGGGCAGGCAGUGGAAACUGGUAAGCUAGAGUACGGUAGGGGUAGAGGGAAUUUCCAGUGUAGCGGUGAAAUGCGUAGAGAUUGGAAAGAACACCAGUGGCGAAGGCGCUCUACUGGACCGAAACUGACACUCAGGGACGAAAGCUAGGGGAGCG